rnacentral:rRNA from 1 species
GCUCCUACGGGAGGCAGCAGCGAGGAAUAUUGGUCAAUGGGCUUACGCCUGAACCAGCCAAGUCGCGUGAGGGAAGACUGCCCUAUGGGUUGUAAACCUCUUUAGGCGGGGAGCAAUGCCGGGCACGCGUGUCCGGAGGGAGAGUACCCGCAGAAUAAGCAUCGGCUAACUCCGUGCCAGCAGCCGCGGUAAUACGGAGGAUGCGAGCGUUAUCCGGAUUUAUUGGGUUUAAAGGGUGCGUAGGCGGAUUUUUAAGUCAGCGGUAAAAUGUCCGGGCUCAACCCGGGCCGGCCGUUGAAACUGGG